UCAGGCUCACCCAGGAAUGGAGACGCCAUUGGAUGUAUUGUCCAGGGCAGCCUCUCUGGUGCAUGCUGAUGAUGAAAAACGUGAAGCUUCCCUCAGGGGAGAACCCAGAAUGCAGACCCUCCCGGUGGCCUCAGCUCUCAGCAGUCACCGGACAGGCCCGCCUCCCAUCAGCCCCAGCAAGAGGAAAUUCAGCAUGGAACCCGGGGACAAGGACUUGGACUGUGAAAAUGAUCACGUCUCCAAGAUGAGCCGUAUCUUCAGCCCCCAUUUGAAUAAGACUGUCAACGGAGACUGCCGCAGAGAUCCCCGGGAACGGAGCCGCAGUCCCAUUGAGCGGGCUGCAGCCCCCGCUGUGAGCUUGCAUGGUGGCCACCUGUACGCAUCCCUCCCCAGCCUCAUGGAGCAGCCUCUUGCCCUGACUAAGAGCAGCAGCGACACAGGCCGGUCAGCUGUGGAGCGUCAGCAGAACCGGCCCUCCGUGAUUACCUGUGCAUCUGCGGGCGCCCGCAACUGCAACCUCUCUCACUGUCCCAUCGCACACAGUGGCUGUUCUGCGCCUGGGUCCGCCAGCUACCGGAGACCACCCAGUGCAACUGCCACCUGUGACCCUGUGGUGGAAGAGCACUUCCGUCGGAGCCUGGGCAAGAACUACAAGGAACCAGAGCCAGCACCUAACUCGGUGUCCAUCACUGGCUCUGUGGACGACCACUUUGCCAAAGCACUAGGUGACACGUGGCUUCAGAUCAAAGCGGCCAAAGACAGCACAUCCAGCAGCCCGGAGUCAGCCUCACGCAGGGGCCAGCCAGCCAGCCCCACCGCCCACAUGGUCAGCCAUAGUCACUCCCCCUCUGUGGUCUCCUGAAGGGGGAAUCACCCUUCGACCACACAGGAAUCUGCAUGGUUUGCCUGAGCUUUGAACAGUCAGUGCUUAAAAAACAAAAAAACAAAAAAACAAAACAAAACAAAAAAACAGAAA